UACGGUAGGGGGCAAGCGUUGUCCGGAAUCAUUGGGCGUAAAGAGCGUGUAGGCGGCCCGGUAAGUCCGCUGUGAAAGUCGAGGGCUCAACCCUCGAAUGCCGGCGGAUACUGUCGGGCUAGAGUCCGGAAGAGGCGAGUGGAAUUCCUGGUGUAGCGGUGAAAUGCGUAGAGAUCGGGAGGAACACCCGUGGCGAAGGCGGCCAUCUGGACCAGCACUGACGCUGAGGCACGAAAGCGUGGGGAGCAAACAGGG
rnacentral:rRNA from 1 species